GAUGAACGCUGGCGGUGUGCCUAAUACAUGCAAGUCGAGCGAACAGACGAGGAGCUUACUCCUCUGACGUUAGCGGCGGACGGGUGAGUAACACGUGGAUAACCUACCUAUAAGACUGGGAUAACUUCGGGAAACCGGAGCUAAUACCGGAUAACAUGUUGAACCGCAUGGUUCAACAGUGAAAGACGGUCUUGCUGUCACUUAUAGAUGGAUCCGCGUCGCAUUAGCUAGUUGGUAAGGUAACGGCGUACCAAGGCAACGAUGCGUAGCCGACCUGAGAGGGUGAUCGGCCACACUGGAACUGAGACACGGUCCAGACUCCUACGGGAGGCAGCAGUAGGGAAUCUUCCGCAAUGGGCGAAAGCCUGACGGAGCAACGCCGCGUGAGUGAAGAAGGUCUUCGGACCGUAAAACUCUGUUAUUAGGGAAGAACAAAUGUGUAAGUAACUAUGCACGUCUUGACGGUACCUAAUCAGAAAGCCACGGCUAACUACGUG
rnacentral:rRNA from 1 species